rnacentral:miRNA from 1 species
CAAAAGUAUUUGUGGUUUUUG